rnacentral:rRNA from 1 species
GACGAACGCAGGCGGCGUGCUUAACACAUGCAAGUCGAACGGUAAGGCCCUUCGGGGUACACGAGUGGCGAACGGGUGAGUAACACGUGGGUGAUCUGCCCUGCACUUCGGGAUAAGCCGGGGAAACUGGGUCUAAUACCGGAUAGGACCCUGGGAUGCAUGUCCUGGGGUGGAAAGCUUGUGCGGUGUGGGAUGGGCCCGCGGCCUAUCAGCUUGUUGGUGGGGUGAUGGCCUACCAAGGUGACGACGGGUAGCCGGCCUGAGAGGGUGACCGGCCACACUGGGACUGAGAUACGGCCCAGACUCCUACGGGAGGCAGCAGUGGGGAAUAUUGCACAAUGGGCGCAAGCCUGAUGCAGCGACGCCGCGUGAGGGAUGACGGCCUUCGGGUUGUAAACCUCUUUCAGCACCGACGAAGCGCAAGUGACGGUAGGUGCAGAAGAAGGACCGGCCAACUACGUGCCAGCCGCCGCAGUAA